UACGAAGGGGGCUAGCGUUGCUCGGAAUCACUGGGCGUAAAGGGCGCGUAGGUGGCGCGACAAGUCCGUGGUGAAAGCUCGAUGCUCAACAUCGAGUCGGCCACGGAUACUGUUGGGCUGGAGCACUGUAGAGGCAGAUGGAAUUCCGGGUGUAGCGGUGGAAUGCGUAGAGAUCCGGAAGAACACCGGUGGCGAAGGCGGUCUGCUGG
rnacentral:rRNA from 1 species